CUAAUUGUUCCAUGUCUGAUGUAUGUCACUAAAGUGGAGAAACCAUGAAAAAUGAAAAGGAAAAUCCCCGCCUACCUGCACGAGUUUCCCUUUGUGUAUGGAAUGGACCCAAACUUACGUAGAUCAGCUUUAUUGAACCUUAUUCUCGAGGACUGCCGCGAACUGCCCUCUUUGAAGAAACCACCCACGUAAUAACGACCCUGGAGAGCAACGCAAAACCCAGCCGGCUGCCGCGCCAACUUCGCCAAAUUACUGGGCUCGCCCGAAGACAGGCAAACUGGCAAGAGAUUCUGCGAGGGGAAAAAAUAAAACACGACAACUACCCACAAAGGGCUUGGUAUUUUUUUAAAGCCAGUAUCUAAAAGCCUCCACCACCGAGCUACUGCA